rnacentral:sRNA from 1 species
UUUUUUGUAUCUUUUCUUCUA